rnacentral:snRNA from 1 species
GGGCUCAAUUUGGCAGCAUAUAUACUAAAAUUGGAACAAUACAUAGAAGAUUAGCAUGGCCCCUGCACGAGGAUGACACGCAAAUUCGUGAAGCAUUCCAUAUUUUU